rnacentral:rRNA from 1 species
ACCACUCCGUGUCAGUAGCGAGAGGAGGGAUCAUUACCGAGUUUACAACUCCCAAACCCCUGUGAACAUACCUAUACGUUGCCUCGCCGGUAUCAGCCCGCGCCCCGUAAAACGGGACGGCCCGCCCGGGGCCCCUAAACUCUGUUUUUAGUGGAACUUCUGAGUAAAACAAACAAAUAAAUCAAAACUUUCAACAACGGAUCUCUUGGUUCUGGCAUCGAUGAAGAACGCAGCAAAAUGCGAUAAGUAAUGUGAAUUGCAGAAUUCAGUGAAUCAUCGAAUCUUUGAACGCACAUUGCGCCCGCCAGUAUUCUGGCGGGCAUGCCUGUUCGAGCGUCAUUUCAACCCUCAAGCUCAGCUUGGUGUUGGGACUCGCGGUAACCCGCGUUCCCCAAAUCGAUUGGCGGUCACGUCGAGCUUCCAUAGCGUAGUAAUCAUACACCUCGUUACUGGUAAUCGUCGCGGCCACGCCGUAAAACCCCAACUUCUGAAUGUUGACCUCGCAUCAGGUAGGAAUACCCGCUGAACUUAAGCAUAUCAAUAAGCGGAGGAA